rnacentral:lncRNA from 1 species
UUGGCAUAGCACACCAAAUCGAUGGAGGCAAACUUUGGAGCCCAAACGACUUUGGCAUGCCACCAGAUUUUCCAGUCACACAACAGAAUGUUUUAAACUGUUGUAUAUAUUUUCUAAACUUGCACUAGGUAUUGCCUAGUAUAAAUUGUAACAUCAUAUAACAAAGAAAUAAAAGUCUAUUGUCCAAACAUUUUGCAUCUUGCACGACUUUCAAUUUGGUGAUGGGGGGAAUCCUUCCGCCAAAAUUUUCAUAAAUCAUACAACAUAAAAUUAGCAUCAUUGUUGUGUUUUGAACUCUUGAAAUAUAACCUGACAAUUUCAUGUCAUCAAACAACAAAACUUUGUAACUUUACGUUGUAUAUAACAGUUCACUUCAUCAGACAAGUAGGGAACCCUAAAAGGUUGUCUGAUGAGUGUUGUCUGAUAACGUUUUUGUAGUAGUGAUCAGGAGGGUUGAGGUGGAGGAUUAGUGGCAGGGGUUUUUUGUUGGGUUUUGGUUGUUCAUUGUAUAUUCUUUUUUUAUAUACAUUGGGAUAGACAAUAUUAAACUCAUGUGAUCGUUUCAUUUUCUUAACUUUCAAGUUUAUGUAAACAAGGAAAUGUAAUAUUUAACUCAAUUUGGAGUUGUGUGUAAAUUUACAUUCCGCAUCGAGUUUAUUUUCCUUGAAAUUUGUUGAAACAGGUUUUGGGAUUGUAUUAUUUUAAGUUAUAUCAUGCCAAAAAUUUUGAAAAUUACAAUUCGAAAAUUGGGGUGUGACAGUUUUUGUUUAUAAAAGAUAGGUUACAUAAAAGAUAGGCCUACUCAAGAUAUGUUUUGAUGAUGAUUUGUGUUUGUUUGGAUAGGAAAAAAACUGUGACUGUGCUCUAUAAGGGUUUAGUUAAACUGUGACCGUGCUCUAUAUGUUUUGAUGAUAAUUUGAAAAGAAAAAUCUAUCUGCGGUUUGUUGAAAAAUGAACUUAAAAAAACCCAUUUUUUCGUAGAAUGAAGACUUGAGCUUCUCUAAAUUUUAGUUUUCUAAUGGACUUUUGUUAUUUGAUGAACUACU